rnacentral:rRNA from 1 species
AUGAACGCUGGCGGCGUGCCUAAUACAUGCCAGUCGAGCGAACAGACGAGGAGCCUGCUCCUCUGACGUUAGCGGCGGACGGGUGAGUAACACGUGGAUAACCUACCUAUAAGACUGGGAUAACUUCGGGAAACCGGAGCUAAUACCGGAUAAUAUAUUGAACCGCAUGGUUCAAUAGUGAAAGACGGUUUUGCUGUCACUUAUAGAUGGAUCCGCGCCGCAUUAGCUAGUUGGUAAGGUAACGGCUUACCAAGGCAACGAUGCGUAGCCGACCUGAGAGGGUGAUCGGCCACACUGGAACUGAGACACGGUCCAGACUCCUACGGGAGGCAGCAGUAGGGAAUCUUCCGCAAAGGGCGAAAGCCUGACGGAGCAACGCCGCGUGAGUGAUGAAGGUCUUCGGAUCGUAAAACUCUGUUAUUAGGGAAGAACAAAUGUGUAAGUAACUAUGCACGUCUUGACGGUACCUAAUCAGAAAGCCACGGCUAACUACGUG